rnacentral:rRNA from 1 species
GUCUGCUACCCUUUUACGUUGAAAAAACACCGGUUCUCAUCCGAUCCCUGGAAUUAAGCAGCAUUGGGCCCAGUUGGUAUAUUGCAUUGGUGACAGGCUGAGAAUACCAGGUGUUUAUGCAGGUU